UAUUUAAAUGCACUAUUGUAAAGUGGCUGUUCCACUGGAUGUCAUAAGGUGAAUGCACCAAUUUGUAAGUCGCUCUGGAUAAGAGCGUCUGCUAAAUGACUUAAAUGUAAAUGUAAAUGUAUGUAAAUGAUAUAUGCCAAUUAGGAAUGAGGUGGAUGAUUAGGUGCCAUGAUGGAAUGUGGCCAGGUUGGUAAUUUAUCCAUCACACCAGGUGAACCCCUACUCAUACAAUAAGUGCCAUGGAUUUUGAAAGACCACAGAGAGUCAGGACACCUGUCUUAACGUCCAUCUGAGAGACGUAACCGUAUUCAGGGCAAUGUCCCCAAAUGUAAUCAAGGUUUGAAAGGAUUUUUUUUUAGUCAAAUAUUAUAUAUGUUUAGGCUUCUUGAAGUCAAUUUGCAAUCUACAAAUAUUUAUAUUAUGUUCUGGCCCACUGUCUGCUCAAUAAAAAAAAUGUCCCACGGCUGAAUCUAGUUGAUGAUCCUUGUCCUAAAUGUUGCACAAUCCUUGUCAAAUUAUUUGUGAAACAUCAGAGAUAUGGUGAAUACCUUUUGAAAGUGGACAGGAAUUUACUGGUUUCUUGCCUUCCCUGAGUUUGUGAUCAAUUAUAUGCAUUUUAUCUGAUUCUUCAUAACUGUCUUUGUUUCAGAAUUGUGCAACGAUGCCCAAAUUUGGGAAAACAUUUUUUUUUAAAUCCUGGGCAAGGAAAUUCCAUUGAGAGGCAAGGCUCUGAGACCAAAGAGGCACAUUGUCCCUCAGUGCUGCACCUCCGGCUCGGAACCUCCUCAGGCCCAAAGAGAGGAACAGCGGGAAUUUGCUACAAGUAAUACCCAGACUACCAGUGCUCAGAGGAGGAAAGGGGAAACAGUGGCUGCAUGGAGAGAAAUGCUUGUGGAGAUCACCCCCCCCCCCAGUAAAAUCAAUCUGCUCUUUUACCUAGGCAGGUCAGUUAAGAACAAGUCAUAUUUGCAAUGACAGCCUAGGAACAACAUAUUUUUUACCUUGUCAGCUCGUGGAUUUGAUCUUGCAACUAGUCCAACGCUCUAACCACUAGGCUACCUGCCGUCCAUGUGUGGGGUCCAGCCAGAGACAAUAUUUUGCUCUGACUGUGUGGUGGCCACCCAUAAAGACAAAAACAUUGUGCACCACCUGGAGAUCUGGCAGGAUGGUCCAUUUAAAAGGACCCACCAUUUGCUUUUGAAUGGCACUGGAAGCAGAGAGAUGGCCAUAAGUGCUCACUCUACCACAGUAAACUUCUGAGGGUAUUUCAUGACUUUGGUAAGUAAUAAAGCUUUUUGUUGUUGUAAUAUCUUAUACAGUAAACAAAACAUUUUCUCUACAUAACCUUUUUUUUUUUUUUAUUUGAAAAUGUUAUUAGGCGAGUAGGUCAAGAGAAUUUUGUUUGCAUUUUCAAAUUAUAUAUACUGAGUAUUUGAAACAUUAAUACCUGCUCUUUCCAUGACAUAGACUGACCGGGUGAAUCCAGGUGAAAUAUAUGAUCCCUUUGUUAAUGUCACUUGUUCCUAAUGUUUGGUUUACUCAGUGAAUACCCCUUGAUUAUGGCUUGUGCUUUAGUUGUAGUAGCGUAAAUGUGUUAUGAUAUCAUAAAUAGAACAAUAAGAAACUAUUACUGGAUAUAGCCAAUGGGAUAGUUGUUGUCAUGGGAGACAUAUAACUAAUUAAGCCCCUUUACAACUUGGAGGACAUGGGAUGUGCAGAUAAAAGUGAACAAGACAGUUUCGGUAAGUUAUUGCCCUCAAAUCAUUGAAGGAGAACCUAAAACCUCAGUUUUAAGUUACAGCAGCUGACAAUCUGCAGCGGAUGUUUAUUUUAAUGCAGAGUGCACCCAUCAACUCAGUGGCCUUGGGGUUAGUGUCGGCCCUGAGAUUGGAAGGUUGGGUUCGAACCCCAGUUCAGUCACAAGACUCUAAAAAGCGUGACCGACUGCAUCUCUGUUUGGCAUUCCACAUUAAGUAGAUGGAUUCGGGGUAAGGCAUUGUGAUAGACAAGCAUCCUGUCCAAGGGGUAUACUUGUAUAUCAAGUAGCCUCGCACUACUGAAACAGGAGAUAAGCUUCUGUCCUAUCGGCUCUCAUUUCUGGGACAAGGCUAAAUAUAGUGCAUCCAGAGGUAAUGUAAUUUUGCAUACAUUUUUCACCAAACCUGAACUUCUUAAGCUUGUUGGUUGUGUUUACUGUGUGAAAUGCAAAGUGUUCUACGUUGUUGACCCCCGAAUGAUGGUGAAACUGAAUUCCUGACUGCGGAUCGUGCCGUUACGCAUCACAGAUAUGUCAAGGAAAACAAUUUUAUAUUUGCAUUGGAAAUGUGUCGUUUUUGCGCCAUUCUUUUUAAUGGAGCUUUUCAUGACUAACUCUUGUUCUUCUUUCAGGCAGAGUGCAUGCUGUGCGAGUAGAGAUCUGCCAGUGUGAGCCGGAAGCAGUGUCAUUGGUCAGGUACAUGAGCCAGAAGCAGGUUCAUUGGUCAGGUACAUGAGCCAGAAGCAGGUUCAUUGGUCAGGUACAUGAGCCAGAAACAGGUUCAUUGGUCAGGUGCAUGCUCUGGCCUUGCACACCCCGCCAGCCUCAGACUGCAGUGGUCUGCUCACUACUCAAGCAGAAAACCAGCCUGCAGCUUGAGUGGUGUUACACUCAGGGCCAUAUGCCUGUCAUUACGUUCUCCUCAUAGGACAGUAAGUAAUCUCUUUUAUAAUCUGACUCUAUUACCAUGUCUACUUUGUCUGCAAAAGUUCCUAACCAAAUUCCUGUUUUGAUAAACGUAUGUGUCACAGAAACCAUGUGCUACUUGUAUGUGAAGAUGCCUUUGCUGUCUGUGUUGAUGGCCUACUCUGAUGGAAUGCAGUAAUGAAUCAGAGUGCCUCUAAGUGACUCUGUUCAUUCAUUUCAGGGAAGAGACUUGUAUACUGACAAAUGAGGCCUAUGAGGAGUUCCGACAUGGUUCCGUCUGGCCCCAGAAGCUGCCGAUGGAACCCAGUGCCUGCUAUGUCCCAAGCAGGCAAUGCCGUCAGGUCCAAACCCAAAACAACGAAAUUGGACGAGACAGGCGUGUUGGGCGUUUCCUGUGGGAUGCAGUAAUGAGGGUGAAAGGUGGGAUGCAGUAAUGAGUUUUUUUUUUUUAAAUUUUUUUUAAUUUUCUUUUUCAGUCUUUUUUGGGGUAGUAUUUGAUUAAUUUAGCUUGCAAACAAUGAUGUAUCUCCUGUAGUUUGUCAAAUGCAGUGUACCUGCUGCGAGAGAUGGAGGGGAUGAGAGGCAAGAACAUUAAUCUCAUCUUCAUGUGUGACAUUGCAUGCAAGAUGCAGCCACAUGUGCAAAUGAAAUUCAACACCCGAUAUGUCGAAGGUGCUGGACUGGCAGAUAGGGAGCAGAUGGAGAGGCUGUGGUCCUAUUUGAGGUGCUUUGGGAAGGUCACCAAAGAGAUGACGCCGUCCCAUCGUAUUGACCUCCUGGCUGAUGCACUUCUCCACCAUGGGAAAAAGAUACGCCAGAGGCAAUGUUGAUUGUGGACUCUGCCACAGAGGUUUUCCCGAGCAACAAAAGUUGCAACAGGGGCAGAAAGCGAAAUGGCAGAAAUUGCACAGUCUCUUUCCAGGAACAACACUGGACACCAUUAGGGAUUGGGGCAGCACCCUUGAGAGGCAAAAACCUGCUCUGUGCUGGGAGGAGCAAUAUGUUUGCAAUGCUCCAGCAACAUACAAUUUCAAUCUAUGUAAUUAAUUUCAAAUGACUAAACAAAGUUAUCUUUCAGCAUGCGAUGCCCUCUCUAAUCCAUUUUUUUUCAUUUUCAGGGCACAGCAGGAAAGUGAAGAUGGAACAGCUGUUUUUUCAACUUGUGCAGAUCGAGAGCUACUUCCUCCAUUUUUAACAGUGCAAUUUUUAGAUCAAUGAAUAUAAUUGAUCUCCCUGGUCAAAGUAUUUAGGAAACUCAAGAUGAUGGAGAGGAAGAACAGCAUCCUCCAUUGAUGGUCCCCCACCAGCAGUCGCUUCCAGACUGCACUCCAGACUGCAGAGAAACAGAUUGAGGACCAAUCUGGAGGAAACCUUCAGUCUGCAGCUAGAACAGAGGUUCCUCUGUGGCCUGAUGACAAAAUAUGCAGUAUAUAUACACUGCUCAAAAAAAUAAAGGGAACACUCUAGUGGUAGCAUGAGACGGAAUCUACAACCCACACAAGUGGCUCAGGUAGUGCAGCUCAUCCAGGAUGGUACAUCAAUGCGAGCUGUGGCAAGAAGGUUUGCUGUGUCUGUCAGCGUAGUGUCCAGAGCAUGGAGACGCUACCAGGAGACAGGCCAGUAUAUCAGGAGACGUGGAGGAGGCCGUAGGAGGGCAACAACCCAGCAGCAGGACCGCUACCUCUGCCUUUGUGCAAGGAGGAGCAGGAGGAGCACUGCCAGAGCCUUGCAAAAUGACCUCCAGCAGGCCACAAAUGUGCAUGUGUCUGCUCAAACGGUCAGAAACAGACACCAUGAGGGUGGUAUGAGGGCCUGACGUCCACAGGUGGGGGUUGUGCUUACAGCCCAACACCGUGCAGGACGUUUGGCAUUUACCAGAGAACACCAAGAUUGGCAAAUUCGCCACUGGCGCCCUGUGCUCUUCACCGAUGAAAGCAGGUUCACACUCAGCACAUGUGACAGAUGUGACAGAGUCUGGAGACGCUGUGGAGAACGUUCUGCUGCCUGCAACAUCCUCCAGCAUGACCGGUUUGGCGGUGAGUCAGUCAUGGUGUGGGGUGGCAUUUCUUUGGGGGGCCGCACAGCCCUCCAUGUGCUCGCCAGAGGUAGCCUGACUGCCAGUAGGUACCGAGAUGAGAUCCUCAGACCCCUUGUGAGACCAUAUGCUGGUGCGGUUGGCCCUGGGUUCCUCCUAAUGCAAGACAAUGCCAGACCUCAUGUGGCUGGAGUGUGUCAGCAGUUCCUGCAAGAGGAAGGCAUUGAUGCUAUGGACUGGCCUGCCCGUUCCCCAAACCUGAAUCCAAUUGAGCACAUCUGGGACAUCAUAUCUCGCUCCAUCCACCAACAGACUGCACCACAGACUGUCCAGGAGUUGGUGGAUGCUUUAGUCCAGGUCUGGGAGGAGAUCCCUCAGGAGACCAUCUGCCACCUCAUCAGGAGCAUGCCCAGGUGUUGUAGGGAGGUCAUACAGGCACGUGGAGGCCACACACACUACUGAGCCUCAUUUUGGCUUGUUUUAAGGACAUUACAUCAAGUUGGAUCAGCCUGUAGUGUGGUUUUCCACUUUAAUUUUGAGUGUGACUCCAUGGGUUGAUACAUUUGAUUUCCAUUGAUCAUUUGUGUGAUUUUGUUGUCAGCACAUACAACUAUGUAAAGAAAAAAGUAUUUAAUAAGAAUAUUUCAUUCAUUCAGAUCUAGGAUGUGUUAUUUUAGUGUUCCCUUUAUUGUUUUGAGCAGUGUAUAUUCAACAAUAGGAACAAGUCAAUUCAUAUCUGUUGAUGACAUUUCUGGUGGGCAAACACUAUUUUUUAUUUAUUUUUUAGCUCUUUCUGAACUUGGUUUCUGUUGCUAAUGAUCUAUUGUUGGAUGGUAUGAGUAAUUGUAUUGUUUUUUUAUGUUUAUUUGUUUAGAUUGGAUUACAUUUAACAAUUUUAAAAAAAUCUGUUACCAAUAAAUGGUCAAGGUAUUGCCAACCGCCUGUCCAAAAGGCUUGCCACGGUCGGUAGUAGCAUUAAAUAAAAUGUGAAGGACUACAACCUGAGGAUACAAGGUUUGUCCUUACAGCUCUCACAGGCCCUGAAGCUGCAUGUUUUGGAUGUUAGGCAUCACCCUUUUUUGACGUUGCUUGCUUACUUACUGUAUAUUUCUCAGACUUCCUGUCUGUCCGUCAUACCCAUGCAAAUUCAUCAGGAGAGAGUAGGCCCACGGGAGGCUCCCGGCUUUAGCCUAGGCCUAGAUGGUGCCACAUUUAGCCCCUCCAAAACGCCCUAAUUCACCUAACGCACCCCUCACGCAGGUCCGCUGAUGUCGGAAUCAUUAUUUCAAUUUGCCUACAGAUUCGAUCGUAUUUGCAUUUCAAAAUGCAAUAUUCUCAUCCAUUUUGAUGAUUGUUUCUCAUUAAGAGACAUUCACUAAGAGGCUAUAAGUUGUUCAGACCAAUGUGCUGCUCUACAAUUUUAACACGGUGCCAUGUGACAACUAUAGUCUACUGUAAAAUCAUAUGCUGCUUUAGGCUAAAUACUGUAGUUUGUGUGUUUCAACAGGACAAAUGGAAAGAAUACCUACUGUAUUCAAAAUUGCGGUGUAGCGUACCUGCAAUGUUACCCUACCUUAAUAAUGCAAAAAUGACGUUUUAACUUCAUUCAUGAGAGAGAAUGCAGGAGACUAUUAAAGCAGGCAGCGGACCAUUUUUUUGGUGCUGUAAGGUAAAGCUGCAACCGCAGCGCAAUCAAUAGGAGGUGACCAGUGCAUGGUGCUGAACAUAUAGCUAACUUGCUAUGCAAGUGUUGCACAGCAACAGAUGGAGAUAACCUACACCAGUCGAGUAAUUAUUUUCAACAAUAAUCUUCAUUUUAAUGUGACUUUACAAAUAACACGAGGGCUUAAUUGGAGUUUCUCCCGCGCCUAGGCCUAUAUAAAAUAACUUAACUGGCUCAAGUAGACUAUGAGGCUUAACAGCAUAUUUUAAAUUAUAUAUAUAUAUAUAUAUAUAUAAUUUUGAUGCUCAGAAAACUUGAGGUGCAAAAUAAAACCACAGUCAGUUGAGGAACCCAGUCCUAAAUCAUCAAAUGAGAAACAUGCAGUUUAAAGUAAUUUGCCAAUGGAUUGGGAAAGGAAGAUGCUACGUCCAUGGCAAUAGAUCAACACAUGAUUCGAAUCUGGGUUUUGCAUCCCUAAAUAUAUUGUGACAUUUUCAUUGUUUUAACAGCCCUUCAAGUAAUGAACAUUU